UGAGCAUACACUGUAAAAAUGUUGGUCUAAUAAUGUCGUGUUAUUUUGUUUCAGAUUUGACCCAGAGGAAGGGGUAGCGGAAUUAAAUUUCAUUCUGAUGUGACACCUGUUGGUGAGGAGAGGUGAACUGAGCAUCAGAACAUUCCACAAUAAGAAGAGAGAAAAGAGAUAACCGAUUGUGAGCAGAAGAGGAAACGUCUGAGCGUCUGCGGUCACGAUGAGAGGUUAAACAUGAAGGAUAAUGUUUUGUUUUGGCUGUGCUGAGGUGUAACAAAAAGAAAAGUGUGCUCACUACAACAGAUCAGUAACCAUGAGGAUUUAAACGCAAACCCAGAAGCAAGCCAACGUUUAAG